GCUUACGGCCAUACCAGCCUGAAAUACGCCCGAUCUCGUCCGAUCUCGGAAGCUAAGCAGGGUCGGGCCUGGUUAGUACUUGGAUGGGAGACCGCCUGGGAAUACCAGGUGCUGUAAGCG
rnacentral:rRNA from 1 species